rnacentral:rRNA from 1 species
GCCCUCUGACCAAAUCACCCGUGACGCGCCCCAGUCCUUUUGGACUUCAGAAGCUAAGCAAGGUUGAACCUGGAUAGUGCUUGGAUGGGCGACCACCAUGGAGAAAACAGGUGCAGUAGGCA